rnacentral:rRNA from 1 species
AGACACGUGGGUAACCUGCCCUAAAGUCUGGGAUACCACUUGGAAACAGGUGCUAAUACCGGAUAACAACAAUAGCUGCAUGGCUAUUGCUUAAAAGGCGGCGAAAGCUGUCGCUAAAGGAUGGACCCGCGGUGCAUUAGCUAGUUGGUAAGGUAAUGGCUUACCAAGGCGACGAUGCAUAGCCGAGUUGAGAGACUGAUCGGCCACAUUGGGACUGAGACACGGCCCAAACUCCUACGGAAGGCAGCAG